rfam:Cajanus cajan CcLG11_50, whole genome shotgun sequence.
AAGCCGAUGAGGAUUAAUUUGAAUUGGAAUUACCGUCUGAACACAAUUGAUGUGAAUUUCUGGCUGACUGAGGCUUCAC